UUACGACCACAUCAGGUUCAGUCACCAGUUCCCGUACGAUCACCGAAGUUAAGUAACGUCGAGCCUGGUCAGUACCUAGACGAGUGACCGCUUGGGAUUACCAGGU